GAUGAACGCUAGCUACAGGCUUAACACAUGCAAGUCGAGGGGAAACGAUAUUGGAAGCUUGCUUCCGAUAGGCGUCGACCGGCGCACGGGUGAGUAACGCGUAUCCAACCUGCCCAUCACUUGGGGAUAACCUUGCGAAAGUAAGACUAAUACCCAAUGAUAUCCAUAGAAGACAUCUGAAAUGGAUUAAAGAUUUAUCGGUGAUGGAUGGGGAUGCGUCUGAUUGGCUUGUUGGCGGGGUAACGGGCCACCAAGGCGACGAUCAGUAGGGGUUCUGAGAGGAAGGUCCCCCACAUUGGAACUGAGACACGGGCCAACCUCCUACGCGAGGCAGCAGUGAGGAAUAUUGGUCAAUGGGCGAGAGCCUGAACCAGCCAAGUAGCGUGCAGGAUGACGGCCCUAUGGGUUGUAAACUGCUUUUAUAAGGGAAUAAAGUGGGAGUCGUGACUCCUUUUGCAUGUACCUUAUGAAUAAGGACCGGCUAAUUCCGUGCCAGCCGCCGCGGUAA
rnacentral:rRNA from 1 species